rnacentral:rRNA from 1 species
CGCCCGCCGCGCGCGGCGGGCGGGGCGGGGGCACGGGGGGCCUACGGGAGGCAGCAGUGGGGAAUAUUGUGCAAUGGGGGAAACCCUGACACAGCGACGCCGCGUGAGCGAAGAAGGCCUUCGGGUCGUAAAGCUCAAUAGUAUGGGAAGAAGGAAGUGACGGUACCAUACGAAAGCCCCGGCUAACUACGUGCCAGCAGCCGCGGUAAU